CCUGCUGUAUCUCAGGCGGUAGAGCGUUUGACUAACAUUCAGAAGAUUGGCGGUUCGACCCCAGGACCUGCAGUU
rnacentral:tRNA from 1 species